ensembl:snoRNA
AAGACUAUGCUUUCAGGGACCAUUUCUAUAGUUCAUUACUAGAGAAGUUUCUCUGACUGUGUAGAGUACCAGAAACCACAAGGAGGAGGCGUAGCAUUCUCUCCUGAGCAGGAAGCCAGCUAGCUCUUAGUGUUGCUUCACUGCAACUGCCUUUUGCCAUUAAUGAUCGUUCUUCUCUCUUUUGGGAGAUUAGAGGGAGAGGAUGCAGUCUGAAUGGUU